AGAGUUUGAUCCUGGCUCAGAUUGAACGCUGGCGGCGUGCCUAACACAUGCAAGUCGAGCGGCAGCGGGUGUAGCAAUACAUGCCGGCGAGCGGCGAACGGGUGAGUAAUGCUUCGGAAUCUACCCAAUGGUGGGGAAUAACCAGCCGAAAGGUUGGCUAAUACUGCAUACGUCCUACGGGAGAAAGCAGGGGAUCGCAAGACCUUGCGCCAAUGGAUGAGCCGAAGUCGGAUUAGCUAGUUGGUAGGGUAACGGCCUACCAAGGCGACGAUCCGUAGCUGGUCUGAGAGGACGACCAGCCACACUGGGACUGAGACACGGCCCAGACUCCUACGGGAGGCAGCAGUGGGGAAUAUUGGACAAUGGGGGAAACCCUGAUCCAGCGACGCCGCGUGUGUGAAGAAGGCCUGCGGGUUGUAAAGCACUUUUAGUGGGGAUGAAAAGUUCGGGGCUAAUACCUCCGGAUCUUGACCUAACCCACAGAAAAAGCACCGGCUAACUCUGUGCCAGCAGCCGCGGUAAUACAGAGGGUGCAAGCGUUAAUCGGAAUUACUGGGCGUAAAGCGUGCGUAGACGGUUACAUAAGUCGGGUGUGAAAGCCCCGGGCUCAACCUGGGAAUUGCAUUCGAGACUGCGUAGCUAGGGUGCGGAAGAGGGAAGCGGAAUUUCCGGUGUAGCGGUGAAAUGCGUAGAUAUCGGAAGGAACACCAGUGGCGAAAGCGGCUUCCUGGUCCAGCACCGACGUUCAGGCACGAAAGCGUGGGGAGCAAACAGGAUUAGAUACCCUAGUAGUCC
rnacentral:rRNA from 1 species